GCCGUAGGGGUUGACGGUGGACCCCUAUCGCCGUUUUGGCAUCAGAUUGUGCCGAGGGCACGUGACCUGUUGGUUGUUAGACCAGUUGGACCCUGUUACUUGACUUUGGCUUGUGAGAGCCUAAUUGAGCUCGACAGAGAUACGCUGCAUACUCGGUUGGGUAGCUCCCACGAGUGCCACUCCGGAGACGGGCGUUGUGCUUUCGCGUUGGUGUCGUUCGUGCAGGUUGGACUUGCUCUCCACGGAUUGCUUAGUGUGGAGGUAGCUGUAUAGUCGCAACCGGGCGGGACGGGUGUGUUCACAGUCC
rnacentral:lncRNA from 1 species